UACAGAGGUCUCAAGCGUUGUUCGGAUUCAUUGGGCGUAAAGGGUGUGUAGGUGGCGCCGUAAGUCGGGUGUGAAAUUUCGGAGCUUAACUCCGAAACUGCAUUCGAUACUGCGGUGCUUGAGGACUGGAGAGGAGACUGGAAUUCAUGGUGUAGCAGUGAAAUGCGUAGAGAUCAUGAGGAACACCGGUGGCGAAGGCGGCAUCCUGGACCGGCAUUGACGCUGAGGCGCGAAAGCCAGGGGAGCAAACGGG
rnacentral:rRNA from 1 species